rnacentral:rRNA from 1 species
ACUGCUAUCGGAUUGAUACUAAGCCAUGCGAGUCUUUGUAGCAAUACAAGGCAGACGGCUCAGUAACACGUAGUCAAUCUACCCUAUGGACGGGGAUAACCUCGGGAAACUGAGAAUAAUACCCGAUAGAUCAUUAUGCCUGGAAUGGUUUAUGGUCGAAAUGAUUUAUCGCCGUAGGAUGGGACUGCGGUCUAUCAGCUUGUUGGUGAGGUAAUGGCCCACCAAGGCUAUAACAGAUACGGGCUCUGAGAGGAGAAGCCCGGAGAUGGGUACUGAGACACGGACCCAGGCCCUAUGGGGCGCAGCAGGCGAGAAAACUUUGCAAUGUGCGAAAGCACGACAAGGUUAAUCCGAGUGUUUUCUGCUAAAGAAAUCUUUUGUCAGUCCUAAAAACACUGAUGAAUAAGGGGUGGGCAAGUUCUGGUGUCAGCCGCCGCGGUAAAACCAGCACCUCAAGUGGUCAGGAGGAUUAUUGGGCCUAAAGCAUCCGUAGCCGGCCGUGUAAGUUUUCGGUUAAAUCUAUACGCUCAACGUAUAGGCUGCCGGGAAUACUGCACAGCUAGGGAGUGGGAGAGGUAGACGGUACUCGGUAGGAAGGGGUAAAAUCCUUUGAUCUAUUGAUGACCACCUGUGGCGAAGGCGGUCUACUAGAACACGUCCGACGGUGAGGGAUGAAAGCUGGGGGAGCAGACCGGAUUAGAUACCCGGGUAGUCCCAGCCGUAAACAAUGCAAACUCAGUGAUGCACUGGCUUGUGGCCAGUGCAGUGCCGCAGGGAAGCCGUUAAGUUUGCCGCCUGGGAAGUACGUACGCAAGUAUGAAACUUAAAGGAAUUGGCGGGGGAGCACCACAAGGGGUGAAG